GGACUCUGGAGCCGCCGCCGCCGCUGCUGCGGUUCAUAGCCGGAGUAGACGGAGCCGCAGUAGACGGAUCCGCGGCUGCACCAAACCACUGCCCCUCGGAGCCUGGUAGUGGGCCACAAGCCCCCAGUCCCAGAGGCGUGAUUUUCUGGCAUCCUUAAAUCUUGUGUCAAGGAUUGGUUAUAAUAUAACCAGAAACCAUGACGGCGGCUGAGAACGUAUGCUACACGUUAAUUAACGUGCCAAUGGAUUCAGAACCACCAUCUGAAAUUAGCUUAAAAAAUGAUCUAGAUUCAUGGAGCCUGCAUUAACUCAAUUGGUUAGGAACCAGAAAUCUAAUCCAGCGCCUUCAUAUUAUAUAUAAAGAGUCUGAUUUCCAGAGAUAAAUGACUUGAGCAAAGACAGAUUAUUUGGUGGAGAACCAGGUGGAGAACCUUGUCACUUGGGUUUGUACUUUUAUUACCAUUGCUGAUACUGAAGUAAGAAGAAAAAGGAGAUGUAAAGUCAAAGACUGAAGCUUUGAAGAAAGUAAUCAUUAUGAUUCUGAAUGGUGAAAAACUUCCUGGACUUCUGAUGACCAUCAUUCGUUUUGUGCUACCUCUUCAGGAUC
rnacentral:lncRNA from 10 species